rnacentral:rRNA from 1 species
UACGGAGGGUGCAAGCGUUAAUCGGAAUUACUGGGCGUAAAGCGCGCGCAGGCGGUCUGUUAAGUCGGAUGUGAAAGCCCCGAGCUGAACCUGGGAACUGCAUUUGAAACUGGCUGGCUAGAGUCUUGUAGAGGGGGGUAGAAUUCCAUGUGUAGCGGUGAAAUGCGUAGAGAUGUGGAGGAAUACCGGUGGCGAAGGCGGCCCCCUGGACAAAGACUGACGCUCAGGUGCGAAAGCGUGGGGAGCAAACAGG